CCUUAACCUGCUAACUAGUCAGACUACGUGUUUUGAGCAAUAAACCGCCGAAACAACGUGGUCAUCCCUAUUGCUGCUACCGGCGAUGGGGCGCAAUGACUUCUUAGAGGGACUAUCUGUGACUAACAGAUGGAAGUUUGAGGCAAUAACAGGUCUGUGAUGCCCUUAGAUGUUCUGGGCCGCACGCGCGCUACACUGAUAAAGACAACGAGUAAUGUCCUUGACCGGAAGGUCUGGGUAAUCUUUGAAACUUUAUCGUGAUGGGGAUUGACCAUUGCAAUUAUUGGUCAUGAACGAGGAAUUCCUAGUAAGCGCAAGUCAUCAGCUUGCGUUGAUUACGUCCCUGCCCUUUGUACACACCGCCCGUCGAUACUACCGAUUGAAUGGCUUAGUGAGGCCUCUGGAUGGUGCCUGCUUUAAACAGGCUGUCAGAAAUUGUCCAAACUUGGUCAUUUAGAGGAAGUAAAAGUCG
rnacentral:rRNA from 1 species